GCGUUGGUGGUAUAAGUGGUGAGCAUAGCUGACUUCCGAGCAGUUGACCCGCGUUCGAUUCCCGGCCAACGCA